AGAGUUUGAUCCUGGCUCAGGACGAACGCUGGCGGCGUGCUUAACACAUGCAAGUCGAACGGUAAGGCCCUUCGGGGUACACGAGUGGCGAACGGGUGAGUAACACGUGGGUAAUCUGCCCUGCACAUCGGGAUAAGCCUGGGAAACUGGGUCUAAUACCGAAUAGGACCACAGGACACAUGUCCUGUGGUGGAAAGCUUUUGCGGUGUGGGAUGGGCCCGCGGCCUAUCAGCUUGUUGGUGGGGUGAUGGCCUACCAAGGCGACGACGGGUAGCCGGCCUGAGAGGGUGUCCGGCCACACUGGGACUGAGAUACGGCCCAGACUCCUACGGGAGGCAGCAGUGGGGAAUAUUGCACAAUGGGCGAAAGCCUGAUGCAGCGACGCCGCGUGGGGGAUGACGGCCUUCGGGUUGUAAACCUCUUUCACCAUCGACGAAGGUCCGGGUUUUCUCGGGCUGACGGUAGGUGGAGAAGAAGCACCGGCCAACUACGUGCCAGCAGCCGCGGUAAUACGUAGGGCGCGAGCGUUGUCCGGAAUUACUGGGCGUAAAGAGCUCGUAGGUGGUUUGUCGCGUUGUUCGUGAAAUCUCACGGCUUAACUGUGAGCGUGCGGGCGAUACGGGCAGACUUGAGUACUGCAGGGGAGACUGGAAUUCCUGGUGUAGCGGUGGAAUGCGCAGAUAUCAGGAGGAACACCGGUGGCGAAGGCGGGUCUCUGGGCAGUAACUGACGCUGAGGAGCGAAAGCGUGGGGAGCGAACAGGAUUAGAUACCCUGGUAGUCC
rnacentral:rRNA from 1 species